ACGUACACUCCUACGGGAGGCAGCAGUGGGGAAUAUUGGACAAUGGGCGCAAGCCUGAUCCAGCCAUGCCGCGUGAGUGAUGAAGGCCCUAGGGUUGUAAAGCUCUUUCACCGGAGAAGAUAAUGACGGUAUCCGGAGAAGAAGCCCCGGCUAACUUCGUGCCAGCAGCCGCGGUAAUACGAAGGGGGCUAGCGUUGUUCGGAAUUACUGGGCGUAAAGCGCACGUAGGCGGAUCGAUCAGUCAGGGGUGAAAUCCCAGGGCUCAACCCUGGAACUGCCUUUGAUACUGUCGAUCUGGAGUAUGGAAGAGGUGAGUGGAAUUCCGAGUGUAGAGGUGAAAUUCGUAGAUAUUCGGAGGAACACCAGUGGCGAAGGCGGCUCACUGGUCCAUUACUGACGCUGAGGUGCGAAAGCGUGGGGAGCAAACAGGAUUAGAAACCCGUGUAGUCC
rnacentral:rRNA from 1 species